rnacentral:rRNA from 1 species
GUAGGGAAUAUUGCACAAUGGAGGAAACUCUGAUGCAGCGACGCCGCGUGAGUGAUGAAGGCCUUCGGGUCGUAAAGCUCUGUCGCAGGGGAAUAACACAAUGAAGGUACCCUGUAAGAAAGGAUCUGCUAACUUCGUGCCAGCAGCCGCGGUAAGACGAGGGAUCCUAGCGUUGUUCGGAAUCAUUGGGCGUAAAGCGGAUGUAAGUUGCUAUGUAAGUCAGAUGUGAAAGCCUGGGGCUCAACCCCAGAAGUGCAUUUGAUACUGCGUAGCUUGAGUGUCGGAGAGGUUACUAGAAUUGUUGGUGUAGUGGUGAAAUACGUAGAUAUCAACAGGAAUACCGGAGGCGAAGGCGGGUAACUGGCCGAACACUGACACUGAGAUCCGAAAGCGUGGGGAUCAAACAGGAUUAGAUACCCUUGUAGUCC